AGUGUUUUAGUGCUCGCUUCAGCUAAAGGUAGAAGACACAGAGACAAUUAGCAUGGCCCCUGCACAAAGUGACACGCAAAUCCGUGAAGAGUUCCCUAUUUUA
ensembl:snRNA U6 U6 spliceosomal RNA